rnacentral:rRNA from 1 species
UACAGAGGUCUCGAGCGUUAGGCGGAAUCACUGGGCUUAAAGCGUGUGUAGGUGGAUCGUUAAGUACCUUGUGAAAUCCCACGGCCUAACCGUGGAACUGCUUGGUAUACUGGCGGUCUUGAGCCACUUAGGGGCUACCGGAACAAAUGGUGGAGCGGUGAAAUGCGUAGAUAUCAUUUGGAACGCCAAUGGUGAAAACAGGUAGCUGGGAGUGUGCUGACACUGAGACACGAAAGCCAGGGGAGCAAACGGG